UACGAGAGGCCCAAACGUUAUUCGGAAUUACUGGGCUUAAAGAGUUCGUAGGCGGCGCAGAAAGUAGGGUGUGAAAGCCCUCGGCUUAACCGAGGAAUUGCGCUCUAAACUACUGUGCUUGAGGAACCUAGAGGUGAGCAGAACUGAUGGUGGAGCGGUGAAAUGCGUUGAUAUCAUCAGGAAUACCGGAGGCGAAGGCGGCUCAC
rnacentral:rRNA from 1 species